UCAGGAAGAAUGGAUUUGUACUCAUUUUUCAGGUUGACAACAAAUGGCUGUUUUCCAUCGUACACGUUCUCCCCUACCACACCAUCUGAGAAACAUAAACACAGAGAAGGUGUCUAUCAGUACUGGCAAACUCACAGGAGGUCCUCUCUUUCCUUUCGGACCAGCCCUGUGGAGUGAAGAAAUGGAUAUAGUGAAUAGUUAACGAGUAUCAUUUGUGUAUAAAAGUGUCUAAUGCUACUGACCUCAAUGUGGAUUUUUUUUUUUCUUGGAUCUGAUCAUUUAAUAAUUCAUUUUAUGUAAUUUCAUUUUCAAAUAUUUACCUUAUACUAUAUAUACACUGCUGUUUAAACGUUUGUUUUGAAAAUUAAUGCAUAUUUUCAUAAGCACCAAAUCAGCAUGUUAGAAUAAUUCCUAAGAUGAGAGUAAUGGCUGUUGAAAAUUCAGCUUUGUCAUCGCAAGAAUAGAAAUGUUUAAAAAUUGUACAAAUAUUUUACAAUAUUAUGCUUUUUACUGAAUUUUGGUUCAA